rnacentral:rRNA from 1 species
GGCUAAAACUCAAAGGAAAUUGACGGGGGCCCGCACAAGCGGCGGAGCAUGUGGCUUAAUUCGACGCAACGCGAAGAACCUUACCAAGGCUUGACAUACACCGGAAAGUGGCAGAGAUAUCAGCCCCCCUUUGGGCGGUGUACAGGUGGUGCAUGGCUGUCGUCAGCUCGUGUCGUGAGAUGUUGGGUUAAGUCCCGCAACGAGCGCAACCCUUGUCCUGUGUUGCCAGCAACUCUUCGGAGGUUGGGGACUCACGGGAGACUGCCGGGGUCAACUCGGAGGAAGGUGGGGACGACGUCAAGUCAUCAUGCCCCUUAUGUCUUGGGCUGCACACGUGCUACAAUGGCCGGUACAAUGAGCUGCGAUGCCGUGAGGUGGAGCGAAUCUCAAAAAGCCGGUCUCAGUUCGGAUUGGGGUCUGCAACUCGACCCCAUGAAGUCGGAGUCGCUAGUAAUCGCAGAUCAGCAUUGCUGCGGUGAAUACGUUCCCGGGCUUGUACACACCGCCCGUCACGUCACGAAAGUCGGUAACACCCGAAGCCGGUGGCCCAACCCCCUUUGUGGGGAGGGAAUCGUCGAAGGUGGACUGGCGA